rnacentral:rRNA from 1 species
UACGUAGGGGGCAAGCGUUGUCCGGAAUCAUUGGGCGUAAAGAGCGCGUAGGCGGCCCUGUAAGUCCGCUGUGAAAGUCAAGGGCUCAACCCUUGGAUGCCGGUGGAUACUGCAGGGCUAGAGUCCGGAAGAGGAGAGCGGAAUUCCCGGUGUAGAGGUGAAAUUCGUAGAUAUCGGGAGGAACACCAGUGGCGAAGGCGGCUCUCUGGGCAGAUACUGACACUGAGACGCGAAAGCGUGGGUAGCAAACAGG